rnacentral:lncRNA from 1 species
UCAGCAACACAGACUGAAACAAUCCUUAGUAGAUUCAGCUUGGUUUUCUCUUCUCACAGGCUGCACAGAUAAUGCUCGGCCUAAUUCAAAUUGCACUGGGGACUCUCUGGUUCUUUUUGAACGAGCUAGAAGAUAAGAAUCACACUAUCGGUUCUACCUUUAUGAUACUUGCCAUUAGUUACCUGUUUGCAUCUGGAGCAGCUAUGGCUGGCGUGAUGCUUCUGCAGAUCUGUAUUUUAAAUACCAUGUCAGAGCUGGUCAUUGCAAUGAUAAUGGUCCGCUUGCUCAGAAAUGCGCUACGUAAUAAAUGUCCUUGCACUUCAGAAUACUCUUUGGAACCCCCAGCUCCGUGUGAAUUAAGAAGAUUCUCUGCAUACUGCCAGCCACAGCACAUGAAAAA